rnacentral:rRNA from 1 species
AGAGUUUGAUCAUGGCUCAGAACGAACGCUGGCGGCAGGCCUAACACAUGCAAGUCGAACGAAGGCCCAGAGCUUGCUCUGGAUCCCUUAGUGGCGCACGGGUGAGUAACGCGUGGGAAUCUGCCCCGGAGCGGGGAAUAACAGUUGGAAACGACUGCUAAUACCGCAUAUACCCUGAGGGGGAAAGGCUUCGGCCACUCUGGGAUGAGCCCGCGUUAGAUUAGCUUGUUGGUGAGGUAAAGGCUCACCAAGGCAACGAUUUAUAGCUGGUCUGAGAGGAUGAUCAGCCACACUGGGACUGAGACACGGCCCAGACUCCUACGGGAGGCAGCAGUGGGGAAUAUUGGACAAUGGGGGAAACCCUGAUCCAGCCAUGCCGCGUGAGUGAAGAAGGCCCUAGGGUUGUAAAACUCUUUCAGUGGUGACGAUGAUGACGGUAACCACAGAAGAAGCCCCGGCUAACUCCGUGCCAGCAGCCGCGGUAAUACGGAGGGGGCUAGCGUUGUUCGGAAUUACUGGGCGUAAAGCGCACGUAGGCGGCGUGUAUAGUUAGGGGUGAAAGGCCUGGGCUCAACCUGGGAACUGCCUCUAAUACUGACACGCUAGAAUUCGGGAGAGGGUAGCGGAAUUCCAAGUGUAGAGGUGAAAUUCGUAGAUAUUUGGAAGA